rnacentral:lncRNA from 1 species
CGCACGCACAGCUCCCGCCGAGCGAGCGAUUUACUUCGGUCGAGAGUUGUAAUAAUGCAGAGCGCUGAUUGGUUGAAUCUCUCCGACCAAUUAACUACGUCGUCGUCGACCACACCCCGCGUGAAGUUUCGCUCUCUCAAGCUGAGUUUCUCACAUCUCAAUUCACACGCCAUUCAACCAACACCUUUGACCGUCGCUCCUGUUAGAUAUCUCACAAGUGACUAAAGGAUUACUGACACAAAUCCAGAAUUUUAACAAGGCAAAAGGAAAAGCUAACAAAAUGAAGGCUUCUUUGGUGUGUCUAGUUUUAAUUGCUCUAUUUGCAGUGACUUUUGCCCAGACGACGAAUAACGGCACGAACAGCACAGCCUCAACUGCAUCGCCGGCGAACACAACUGAGCCCACAAUGUCAAAUGUACCUCAAAGGCCUAGCAAUGCACCAACAACAAAAAUGCUACAGUCUAAUAUGACCAUGAAACCUACACCAACAAGCGGCAGUCCUGUGUCCGUGGUCUCCAGUGUUCUUUAUCUCUCUCUGAGUGUACUGGCUGCAAGGUUCCUGUAACCUCCUCCUCCUUUUCCAUCUUCUCUCCUUCCAAACUCUGGAAUGAUGCGAUCCGACCAGCACUUUCUUGGAGGCAACGACAAUGACAAUCUCUUCUACGUGUUAUAGCGUAUGAAAUACCAGAUGUACGUAGUUUGCAGUCGCCUGAGAAUACAAAGCAUUGAAUAUCCAAGCCAUAUAGCCGAGUGAAGAAGCCAACUUGAGUUUUCGUUGCACCACUGCAAAAACUCCGGUGUUGAUUUAACACCAGCCUGGAAUCUAUAUAUGUCCACACCAGAGAAGUAUUGAAACAACACCAGUUUGGAAUCAAACCGAUGCUGUUUUAAUACUAAUUGUUGUUGUUGUAUGAACACCUGUCUGGUGUUUGACCAAUACCAAACCGGUGUUGUUUAACACUUCUCUGGUGUGGACAUAAAUAUAGAUUCCGGGCAGGUGUUAAAUCAACACCAGUGUUUUUUGCAGUGCAGUGUUUAGGGCUUUUUAUACUAAACUCAAGUAUUAAUGUAAAGUCAAACGUCUCUAUAAUAUUUUAUUUUCUGUUUUUUCCACUAAUACAACGGCACUUAUAUCAAUGCAUACGGUUGAUUACAAUAUAUUAAUAUGAUAUUGCUUGCUAUAAGACAUUGCUUACAUGAAACAGACUAUGUCUUGAUAUAAGUACACGGUAUAUUAAAAAAUAAACUACCCUUGUGUGUAUCUUACACGAUUGAAUGUACGGUGUUAACCACUCAAUUGCUAGUUCAUGUAUAGAUCGAGUCCCAGAGUCACACCAACCGGUGUCACUCAUUACACCCUAUACAUGCUAUAUUUUGGGUGUUUUAUAAGUGUAUAACAAGCGCACAACAAAUAGAACCAUUCACAACUCCAAUAAUAUUUGAACAUGUGUGCGUAUACUUUAAUGGGGGUGUUGCAAGAAACUUGUAAUUGAUCGCAAGUCAAUUUCAGAUCCCAAAGUGAAUUGAAAGUUGUGCAUUUUAUUGCAAACUUUUAUUAACAAGUAUGAAUUGAUUUGCUUUAGUUAAAAUUGACCUAUCACUUGCAAAUUUGCAUCUGAAAUUUGAGAUUGAUUGCACAUAUUUUCUUGCAACACCCCCUAAGAGGUGUUCACAACUUAAUGUGUAAAAAUCAACUUUUUCUUAUAUUCAAGCCAUAGAAAUCGAAUGUAAUGAUGUGUAUAUUUUGCUAGUGAUUAUGUACUAUUCGUCAUUGGUAAAAUUAUUUACUGCUUAAGGAAUCAACAAAACAUAAUCAAAAUUGUAUGUACGCCCAUAUUGAUCAAGGUCAGACAGGGCCUAUAUUAUUUAUGAUCUUUUAAUAAAUCGAAAUGUACAAAGUUUGGAGGUGAAGCCUGUAAAAGGUUGAUUCAGACUGCUUUGCAUUUUGUGUACUUUGUCUUUUCUCCAAACCUCCAAUAAUAUACAUUACAUCAAUUAGUCUUCUUUAAGUAGUAAAAUUUGAAUUACAAUUCAAUACUUAUCAUUUCAUGCAUGGAAUUGUAGCACUACAUAUAAUGAUAAGAUUAAGGAUGUAUGAUUUUCUAUUUAAACAGUAAAAUAAAAAAAAAUAUUAUGUAAGAUAAUCAAUAAUUGUUGCAUUAUUGAUUAUCAAGUAUUAUCAAGUAUCGACAUGUAUUUUUUUUUUCAAAUUGCACUUGGUGUAAUGUUAUAUCUGUUGAUAUUUCUAUUCUUAGAUUAGAUAGAUUAGCCACGAAGAUUUAGUUGUCUUUAAUCCAGAAUAUUAAUCAAACAGAUGUUUUGUUUAUACAGGAUCGUUUUGAUUUCUAGCCACCAUUGAAUAACUAUCAACAUUAAAUCUCCCAAGAUUAUUAAAAAAAUCAAUAAAUUCUGUUAAUUCAUUUAAGAAAAAUCCAUAUCUAAAAUGAAAAUGUGAGGAUUUAUUUCAUAUCAAUUCUUUGGAAAAAUUGUAUAGUUGAAGUUGAUUUCAUACCGUGUUAAGUUUUGCUCUAAUUAUUAAUAAAAUAUUAAUAUUUUGUACCU